rnacentral:rRNA from 1 species
AAGACCUUGCGCUUUUGGAGCGGCCGAUGUCUGAUUAGCUUGUUGGUGAGGUAAAGGCUUACCAAGGCUUCGAUCAGUAGCUGGUCUGAGAGGACGGCCAGCCACACUGGGACUGAGACACGGCCCAGACUCCUACGGGAGGCAGCAGUGGGGAAUUUUGGACAAUGGGGGCAACCCUGAUCCAGCCAUGCCGCGUGAGUGAAGAAGGCCUUCGGGUUGUAAAGCUCUUUCAGCCGGAACGAAACGGUUACGGUUAAUACCCGUGACUACUGACGGUACCGGAAGAAGAAGCACCGGCUAACUACGUGCCAGCAGCCGCGGUAAUACGUAGGGUGCAAGCGUUAAUCGGAAUUACUGGGCGUAAAGCGUGCGCAGGUGGUUUUGUAAGUCAGAUGUGAAAUUCCCCGGGCUUAACCUGGGAACU